rnacentral:lncRNA from 1 species
CGCCUCCCGAGAAGUCCGGAGAAGAAGAGCAAGGAGGCGGGGCUACGGCUGCACAUGCGCAGAGGGAGCCCGGAAUCCCCUUCCCAGAGUGCCGCGCGGGGAGCCAGAAGGAGGCAAGACUACAUUUCCCAUAGACCCCGGCGGUCACUGUUGGGGUCACUCUUUCGGCGCCUCCGCUUUUCAGGAGACUGGGGAAUGAUCUCUCUGAGCCCGAAGAGUUUGAGGAUCAAACGUGACUUCCGCCGCCAAAUGCAAAAGGUGGUCCUCUAUUGGCUCCUGAUUGAAAUAGCGUUUUUUCCGCCCUGCUGUGUGAAUCUUACUAGGAAAAAGGCCCCGCUUCUUGCUCAGGAAGUUGAAGAGGCCAAAUACCUUCUCCCGAUGACCACCGAAAGCUGAGAUGUGGACGUCUGACCUGGAAUCAGCCAGUGGGUCCUCUCACCCAGGGUGUUCCAUCCUGAGGGCGUGGUAGAAAAUCCGAGGACACUGAGAGUCACUCUUGGUGUUGGCAGCGGUGCUGAGUGUCCAGUGGUGUCCACGGCUUUGACCUGAACAGACUGCUCCUGGGAGCUGGCCCUGGCGUGUCCUCAGCUGCCAGGCCUCUCUUGGUUCCCAUCUCUGGUCUGAGCUGGCUCCCUGUGCAGUCGCUGAGCUCUCUGAGACCCUUCUAUGAACCUUCUCUUCUGCUUAGGUUAGCCAGGCAGUUUCUGUUGUUUGCCAUCAAGAACUCUGACUGAUCCAGAGGGUCACAUGGAAUAUAAUGCAACCAACAAAACCAUUUAGAGUCAGCUAACAUUCAUGGCCUGCAGGCAUUGUGCUAAAUGCUUCAGAUAAAUGAUGUCACCAAGUCCUCCAAACGACAGGGUGAGGCAGGCGUGUGAGUCUGUUCUUUCAAAUAUCAUCUUAAGGCCCUUCCCCUCUAUGAGGGCUUUUCUGACCUCUGCUCCCUCUUGCAAGUGGACUUGAUUCCUCCUUUGUGCCCAUUCUAUGCCCUAUAUGUAUAAUAUUACAUAUAAAAAGUACAGGGGCUGGCCCGGUGGCUCAGCGGUUAAGUUCCGCACAUUCCGCUUCGGCAGCCCGGGUUUCUUCGCUGGUUUGGAUCCUGGGUGCAGACAUGGCACCACUUGGCAAGCCAUGCUGUGGUAGGCGUCCCACAUAUAAAGUAGAGGAAGAUGGGCACGGAUGUUAGCUCAGAGCCAGUCUUCCUCAGCGAAAAGAGGAGGAUUGGCAGCAGAUGUUAGCUCAGGGCUAAUCUCCUAAAAAAAAAAAGUACAUAUAUAUCAUAAUAUAUAGUGUAUUCUGUAUAAUAUGUAAUAUAUAUAUAUAUUUUAUUUGCUUGCCACUUGUUAUGCUUUUACUGUGUGUGAGAUACUGGGCUUUGCAAUUCACUGACAUUAUCUCAAGCCAUUCCCACCAGAACUUUAUGAGUUGGAUAUAUUAUCUAUUUUACAGAAGAGGAAAUGAGAACAGGAAAGGUCAGGUAACUUUUCAAGGUAUUACCUGUGCAUCACAGAGUAGAGAUGUGCAGUUAGUCCAUUUGUUCUGUUCUGAAUCCCAACCUUCUGCUCUUGUGAACGGCCCACACAGCCUCAGGGCAUCCUAGGGGUGGUGCUCCCUCCUGCUCUGGACUGAGGCACAAUUGGCAUGUCACUUGUCUUUUUUUCUUACUGAUCUGGGAGGGAAGGCAGAUCUCUGUUCCAUAUGGCCCAUCACCCAUUCCUCUGUCCAUGACAGACACCACGAGCCCAGGACUGUACUCCGUCCCAGUGAGCCAUCUCAGGAACCCCUCCCCUCUUUCCAUUGGAAAUCAUUCCCAGGUGGUUAGAGAUGGAUCCUAUUUGCCAGUCCUGGCCUAGAACAAUGCCUCUCACACAAACGUGCUAAACAAAUUGUUGUCAGCAUGUUGCUGUUUUCUUCAUUUUACAGAUGAAGAAAUAACAAUUAGAGAAUUAAAUAAUAAGCCAAUCACCUGGGGAUGUUUGUCCCUACCUCACUGGGGUUUUGUGAGGAUUAAUUACAUUAAUGCACAUAAAGCUCUUUGAAUCAUGUCUUGGCACAAGGUGAGUUAGUUAUUAGCACCAUUUCUCAAAAGCACAUGGGUUGUAUCCAGAAUAGGUAAAUCCAGAGAGGGAAAAACUGCUGGUGGUUGCAGGGGCUGGAGGAAGAGGGGAAUGGGGUGUGACUGCUUAAUGGAUACUAGGUUUCCCUUUGGGAUGAUGAAAAUGUUUGAACGAGGUAGAGGUGGUGGUUGCACAGCAUUGUGACUGUACUAAAUGCCACUGUAUUGUACACUUCAAAAUGGUUAAUUUUAUGGUCUUUGAAUUUUCCCACAAUUAAAAAAAGGCACAGAGGUUGUAAUGGAUGGGGCAGGACCAGGGAGGCCCUGAGAGUGACCCUUACAUUGUGCUCCUUGGGUCCUUAGCUCACGUCACCUAGUCCCAGCCCUGGUGAUGUAGCCAGAAUUUGGAUCAAGCCUUUAGUUCUCUAAGUAAAGUGUUUUUUCCACUUCAAUAUGUAGCAUUAGAAAUCAGGAGAAGUCCAUCCUCACUGGUGGACAGUUGUGAUCUGUGUGCUGAUAAUUGCAGAAAUAGGAGGAGUGUCUCCACCUCAGGCAGGAAAACAAAUGAAUUUUUAAGGCCCUUUAUAGUUUACCAAGCAGUUUUAGAGAACAAUGGUUGUAAAUAAUAGAACUUCCUGCACCUGAGUAAUCCAUCUAAUGUGCAUAGUUUUGAUGCAAAAAAUCUAUAAUUGAUCUAUAAGUCAAAACUGGGGUGAGUUUAUUAUAUGAGCCAGUCUGAGGACCAAAGCCCGGGAGAAACUACCUUCACCAAGAAAGCACUCUGAAGAAGCAGAGAUACAGAGUGGUUAUAUCGCAUCUUGGAACAAGGAACAUCCAUCACAUAUUACAGGAAUAUCUCUUUUACUACAGUCAUGAGAUGUUUUGCUAGAACAAUAGGUCAUUGGUCACAAGGUGAGCACAGAAAGUUGGUGGUCAGCAGGUCAGUGGUCAUGAGAUGAGUUACAGCAGGACAGUAAUCAAUCCUUAGUUUCUGGGAAGAAAUGCUUAUUCUUUAAGAAAUGCUGAUAUGGGGCGAGGCAAUAUCCCUAUCUUUAAGGGCAUCAUUCUCAUCUUUGGAACAUUGCAAAUGUUUAAAGCAAAUGUACAAAGCAUGCUCAACAGGCCAUGUCAGGCCUUUCUAGAAAAACAAGGUCAGGCCAAAUUAGUUUUAAAUGAAAUGGCUUCCUCAUAUACUCCAGUAUAUCCUAUUGCUUUUCAUUUAUUUAUCAAUAGUAGACAUGAUUCAAGGGGAAGAGUGGGCCAGAAAGGAACUCCUGAAGGUUCAUACUCAGAAAUUUCUCUUCUUGCCCUUGGGUCUGUCUAUCUGACUGCAAAGGAAACUCAAAGACUUCAGAACUGUGUCUGUUAAAAGCAAAAUGACAUUGUUCUCCUCCCUCAUUUGUAAGCAGCUCCACUGAGCCUGCUGCGGCAUUAAUGGGGCUGGUGAUGAUGAGGAUUAUUUUAGGCUGGUUACUUUUAAAACUGCAGAUGAGAAGGGGGCUGGUUACUUUUAAUAAAAGCACCUCUGAGGAGCA